rnacentral:rRNA from 1 species
UGGGGAAUUUUGCACAAUGGGGGAAACCCUGAUGCAGCGACGCCGCGUGAUUUAGAAGGCCUUCGGGUUGUAAAAAUCUUUUCUAUGGGAAGAAAAUGACAGUACCAUAGGAAUAAGGACCGGCUAAUUACGUGCCAGCAGCCGCGGUAAUACGUAAGGUCCGAGCGUUGUCCGGAAUCAUUGGGCGUAAAGGGUACGUAGGCGGGUAAGCAAGUUAGAAGUGAAAUCCUGUAGCUCAACUACAGUAAGCUUUUAAAACUGCUCAUCUUGAGAUAUGGAAGGGAAAGUGGAAUUCCUAGUGUAGCGGUGAAAUGCGCAGAUAUUAGGAGGAAUACCGGUGGCGAAGGCGACUCUCUGGUCUGUAACUGACGCUGAGGCUCGAAAGCGUGGGUAGCAAACAGG